rnacentral:rRNA from 1 species
AUUGAACGCUGGCGGCAUGCUUUACACAUGCAAGUCGAACGGCAGCACGGACUUCGGUCUGGUGGCGAGUGGCGAACGGGUGAGUAAUACAUCGGAACGUACCCAGUAAUGGGGGAUAACUAUCCGAAAGGAUAGCUAAUACCGCAUACGCCCUACGGGGGAAAGAGGGGGAUCGCAAGACCUCUUGUUAUUGGAGCGGCCGAUGGCUGAUUAGCUAGUUGGUAGGGUAAAGGCCUACCAAGGCAGCGAUCAGUAGCGGGUCUUAGAGGACGAUCCGCCACCCUGGAACUGAGACACGGUCCAGACUCCUACGGGAGGCAGCAGUGGGGAAUCUUGGACAAUGGGCGCAAGCCUGAUCCAGCAAUGCCGCGUGCGUGAAGAAGGCCUUCGGGUUGUAAAGCGCUUUUGUCAGGGAGCAAAUCCUUGUGGCUAAUACCCACCGGGGAUGAGAGUACCUGAAGAAUAAGGACCGGCUAACUACGUGCCAGCCGCCGCCGUAA